rnacentral:rRNA from 1 species
UAGGGAAUCUUCGGCAAUGGACGAAAGUCUGACCGAGCAACGCCGCGUGAGUGAAGAAGGUUUUCGGAUCGUAAAACUCUGUUGUUAGAGAAGAACAAGGACGUUAGUAACUGAACGUCCCCUGACGGUAUCUAACCAGAAAGCCACGGCUAACUACGUGCCAGCAGCCGCGGUAAUACGUAGGUGGCAAGCGUUGUCCGGAUUUAUUGGGCGUAAAGCGAGCGCAGGCGGUUUCUUAAGUCUGAUGUGAAAGCCCCCGGCUCAACCGGGGAGGGUCGUUGGAAACUGGGAGACUUGAGUGCAGAAGAGGAGAGUGGAAUUCCAUGUGUAGCGGUGAAAUGCGUAGAUAUAUGGAGGAAAACCAGUGGCGAAGGCGGCUCUCUGGUCUGUAACUGACGCUGAGGCUCGAAAGCGUGGGGAGCAAACAGG